rnacentral:ncRNA from 2 species
CCUUCGUUCCAGGGGUGCGCCGGAGGGCGCUGAGAUCCGCGGAGAGACGCGGGGACCCUUUGAACCUGAUCCGGAUCGUACCGGCGUAGGGAUGGGAACAGGGGCCUUCGC